rnacentral:rRNA from 1 species
AGACGUAGGGGGCGAGCGUUGUCCGGAAUUACUGGGCGUAAAGAGCACGUAGGCGGGUAUUUAAGUCAGUUGUGAAAGACCGCAGCUUAACUGCGGGGUUGCAAAUGAAACUGGGUAUCUUGAGGGCAGGAGAGGUCAGUGGAAUUCCUGGUGUAGCGGUGAAAUGCGUAGAAAUCAGGAGGAACACCAGUGGCGAAGGCGGCUGACUGGACUGACCCUGACGCUGAGGUGCGAAAGCGUGGGUAGCAAACAGGAUUAGAUACCCUGGUAGUCCACGCUGUAAACGAUGGAUACUAGGUGUGGGAGGUAUCGACCCCUUCCGUGCCGGAGCUAACGCAAUAAGUAUCCCGCCUGGGGAGUACGGUCGCAAGGCUGAA